UACAGAGGUGGCAAGCGUUGUUCGGAAUUACUGGGCGUAAAGGGUUUGUAGGUGGCUUGCUAAGUCAGACGUGAAAUCCCUCAGCUUAACUGGGGAACUGCGUCUGAGACUGGCGAGCUUGAGUGCAGGAGAGGAACGCGGAAUUCCAGGUGUAGCGGUGAAAUGCGUAGAUAUCUGGAGGAACACCGGUGGCGAAGGCGGCGUUCUGGACUGCAACUGACACUGAGAAACGAAAGCCAGGGGAGCAAACGGG
rnacentral:rRNA from 1 species